rnacentral:rRNA from 2 species
GGGUUGUGAGGUUAAGCGACUAAGCGUACACGGUGGAUGCCCUGGCAGUCAGAGGCGAUGAAGGACGUGCUAAUCUGCGAUAAGCGCCGGUAAGGUGAUAUGAACCGUUAUAACCGGCGAUUUCCGAAUGGGGAAACCCAGUGUGAUUCGUCACACUAUCAUUAACUGAAUCCAUAGGUUAAUGAGGCGAACCGGGGGAACUGAAACAUCUAAGUACCCCGAGGAAAAGAAAUCAACCGAGAUUCCCCCAGUAGCGGCGAGCGAACGGGGAGGAGCCCAGAGCCUGAAUCAGCAUGUG